ACCCUUCACAGGAGAAUUAAAACGCUUAUUUUCUUCCUUUCGUACUCUUUCAAUCCUUAUAUUCACAUCUUUUUCUACUUGCCUAAGCGAGCGGUAACUGAAGUUGCUGCAGUACGGUUCUGUGGCGUCAGCACACGCUGCCCUGCAGAUGACACCCGAUAGUUUCGAAGUGCACUCUCUCUGUGUCUGCUGCUUGUUUCAGGUUUCCUGUCUCUGUCCUUUCUGAAUGUGUGUGCUGAGUGCAUUGUGGUGUACAGUGUGUGUGUGUGUGUGUGUGUGUGUGUGUGUGUGUAUAACUGCACAUGUGACUUUUCCUCCUCUUUACUGACCCUCUGUGUGUUCUGUAGAUGUACACCAACCGCGUGGCUAUAGGUGAUGACUUCAUCGCACUUCAGCCUCUGUCCAGAGCCAAGAAUCAGCUGUGCAAGAUUAGAUGGAAGCGGAUAAGGUUUCAGUCAGCUCAGAAUAUGACACUGCUGAAAUCGGGAGCAGAGGGGAGGACAAUCGGCCACUGAUCGCUGCUUUUCCUCCACCUCUGGUGCAGGCCCACCCCUCCCCUAGUUUAUUGAGGCCUACCAGGGCAUCGGAUGCGUGGACUCCAUGUGCUGUUUCUCAGAGGGGCAAAACGCCUGCUCACGGCUGGGCCGGCUGGUGGAGCGAAUGAUGGGCCGCUGCGACCCCGCUCGGGUCACCAGAUCUUGGAGCGACUCGGACACCUUCUUCUCCAACGACCGGAGCAUCCUGACACUCUCACCCAUGGAGGUCUCUCAUUGUUAAUGCACCAGCCCAAUAAGGAUCAGCUCGUAGAGUCUGGAGACGCCUGCCCUUUACCCCGCCCCCCUGCCCUUGUCCAGUCACCAGCCAGACUGUCACACUUUAAAAUAUCUUGCUCAGUGCAUCACGUCACGUGAUCAGCAACAAGGGACAGGCACGGCUCCUGCAAAAACCAAAGGAUUUGUGUGUCUUGAGUUUCCGCUGCUAGCAAACCCACGGAACUGUACGCAAAGGGCCACCGUCUUUUCUGAGGAAAACAAGGGGGUCUUUUUGAAGCCAUAAUUCCCUCUUUUAAUUGCCUGAUUUUCAAGGUAUUAAAUGUGAGCGCCAUGUAGCGCUAGCUCAAAAACCUGUAGCCUCCUACCCUAAGAUGCCUACCUGUACACCCAGCCCGAGUUGUGGUUCGUAC